rnacentral:rRNA from 1 species
UACGUAGGGUGCUAGCGUUAAUCGGAAUUACUGGGCGUAAAGCGUGCGCAGGCGGUUCGUUAAGUCAGAUGUGAAAGCCCCGGGCUCAACCUGGGAACUGCAUUUGAAACUGGCGGGCUUGAGUGUGGCAGAGGGGGGUGGAAUUCCGCGUGUAGCAGUGAAAUGCGUAGAGAUGCGGAGGAACACCGAUGGCGAAGGCAGCCCCCUGGGCCAACACUGACGCUCAGGCACGAAAGCGUGGGGAGCAAACAGG